AAGUCGUAACAAGGUUUCCGUAGGUGAACCUGCGGAAGGAUCAUUACCAAAAGAUAAUCUUUCAACUCGAAAGAUCUUUUCCUUUGUGCUGGCUUUGACCGUAUGUAAUUUUGGGACUUAAACAUGGUAGGCCUUACGGUUUACCGGUCCCAAAAACAAUAUAUCAUCCUUAUGAAAAACUUACUGAACAACUAAACAAUGAUUUUAAUAAUCUGUUUAAAACAACUUUCAACAACGGAUCUCUUGGUUCUCGCAUCGAUGAAGAACGCAGCGAAAUGCGAUACGUAAUGUGAAUUGCAGAAUUCAGUGAAUCAUCGAAUCUUUGAACGCACACUGCACUCCUUGGUAUUCCGAGGAGUAUGCCUGUUUCAGUAUCAUGAGCACUCUCACACCUAACCUUUGGGUUAUGCUGUGGAAUUGGGAUGCGCCGAUUUUUACUAGUCGGCACUCCUAAAAUGUAGCUCUUGGCUGUUUCCUACUACAGCAGUUUGNCCUAAUAGUUUUGACUUUUGUCAAAUCUUUGGCUACAUUUGCUUCUGGAAAUCAGUCUUGAUAAUACAGAAAACUCAUUUCNAACUUUGAUCUGAAAUCAGGUAGGGCUACCCGCUGAACUUAAGCAUAUCANUAAGCGGAGGAAAAGAAACUAGCAAGGAUUCCCCUAGUAACGGCGAGUGAAGCGGGAAGAGCUCAAAUUUAAAAUCUGGCUUGCUUGCAAGUCCGAGUUGUAGUCUGAAGAAACGUUUUCCAUGAAAGCUGAGGCACAAGUCUUUNNGAACAAGGCAUCAUAGAGGGUGAGAAUCCCGUCCAUGNUCUCAUGCNNUUCAUUUUGUGAUACGUUUUCUAAGAGUCAGGUUGUUUGGGAAUGCAGCCUAAAAUGGGUGGUAAAUUUCAUCUAAAGCUAAAUAUUGGCGAGAGACCGAUAGCGAACAAGUACCGUGAGGGAAAGAUGAAAAGAACUUUGAAAAGAGAGUUAAAAAGUACGUGAAAUUGUUGAAAGGGAACCGUUUGAAGCCAGUCUUGCUUACUUGUGAUCAAUCUUAGCUUCGGCUUGGAUGCACUCUCGAGUUAUGCAGGUCAACGUCAGUUUGAGAGGUGAGAAAAAAGUUUGAGGAAUGUGGCCUUCGGGUGUUAUAGCCUCUUACUAAAUAUCAUCUCCUGGACUGAGGCUCGCAGCAAAAAUGUGGGUUGGUUUGCUCCUGAGGUGAAUCAUUAUUAAGACAGCUUGCUGACUUAGUUUUGUGGAUCUUCACGGUAGACCAGCUUCUAAUUUGCUUAGGUCGUUGACAUAAUGGCUUUAAAUGACC
rnacentral:rRNA from 1 species